UUGCCCUAGUAACGGCGAGUGAAGCGGCAACAGCUCAAAUUUGAAAUCUGGCUCUCGGGCCCGAGUUGUAAUUUGUAGAGGAUGAUUUUGGCGCGGUGCCUUCCGAGUUCCCUGGAACGGGACGCCUUAGAGGGUGAGAGCCCCGUACGGUUGGACACUAAGCCUCUGUAAAUCUCCUUCGACGAGUCGAGUAGUUUGGGAAUGCUGCUCUAAAUGGGAGGUAAAUUUCUUCUAAAGCUAAAUACCGGCCAGAGACCGAUAGCGCACAAGUAGAGUGAUCGAAAGAUGAAAAGCACUUUGAAAAGAGGGUUAAAUAGCACGUGAAAUUGUUGAAAGGGAAGCAUUUACUACCAGACCUUUGCCCUGCGGAUCAUGUGGUGUUCUCACCGCUGCACUUCGCUUGGUUUAGGCCAGCAUCGGUUUUUGUAGGGGGAUAAAAGCCUUAGGAACGUAGCUCCCUCGGGAGUGUUAUAGCCUUUUGCAUAAUA
rnacentral:rRNA from 1 species